GUAAACUUUAAAUAAUGCAUCCAAGUGUCGAGUUUUAGGAAGCUUGUUGAUCAUACACAUUUCGUUUCAAAUCUUCUUCUCUACAUCCAAUCGAGAAGGUAUGGCACACCAAGGACAAUCAUCAAAUGGCAGAGAGGUAUUCCGAGAUCAGCUCAUGAUGCAAAAGUUUUAGCACUAGCUAUGGAGGGACCUCAUCAAUUUCCAACUGCACCUUUUGGAAAGCAUUAUUUAGGAGAUUCUGGUUAUCCUCUUCGACCUGGAUUUCUUACUCCGUGUAGAGGGGAAAGAUAUCAUCCUAGCCAAUAUGAUGGAGUUAGUCCGCCCAGUAGUUAUAAAGAAAUGUUUAACAAACGACAUUCUUCGCUGCGAUCUGUUAUUGAAAGGACUUUUGGUGUGUGGAAAGGAAAAUGGCGGGUUUUAA